rnacentral:lncRNA from 1 species
CUUCUCAACAUUGUUGUACUCAUUGUUACCAUUGUAAUAGUUGUUGUUGUUCUGGUUUUCCUUAGUACUCCAUCCUUUCUCAGUGAACAUGGCCUCAUUGUUACCGUUGUAAUAGUUGUUGCGAUUCUGGUUUUCCUUAGUACUCCACCCUUUCUCAGUGAACAAGGCCUCAUUGUUACCAUUGUAAUAGUUGUUGCUAUUCUGGUUUUCCUUGGUACUCCACCCUUUCUCAGUGAACAAGGCCUCAUUGUUACCAUUGUAAUAGUUGACAUUGUAGUUGUUGGUUUCUUUGGUGGCCCAUCCUUUCUCAUUGAACUUGGCUUCACUUUGCUGCUCAGCGUUCCCGUAGGCAUUUGUCUUGCUAUAAAAGUAAGAGUCUUUGUUGUUGG